rnacentral:rRNA from 1 species
CCUACGGGAGGCAGCAGUAGGGAAUAUUGCUCAAUGGGGGAAACCCUGAAGCAGCAACGCCGCGUGGAGGAUGAAGGUUUUCGGAUUGUAAACUCCUUUUGUUAGAGAAGAAAAUGACGGUUACUAACGUAUAAGCACCGGCCAACUCCGUGCCAGCAGCCGCGGUAAUACGGAGGGUGCAAGCGUUACUCGGAAUCACUGGGCGUAAAGAGAGCGGAGGCGGGAUAGUAAGUCAGAUGUGAAAUCCUAUGGCUUAACCAUAGAACUGCAUUUGAAACUGGUAUUCUAGAGUGUGGGAGAGGUAGGUGGAAUUCUUGGUGUAGGGGUGAAAUGCGUAGAGAUCAGGAGGAAUACUAAUGGCGAAGGCGACCUGCUAGAACAUAACUGACGCUGAUGCGCGAAAGCGUGGGGAGCAAACAGGAUUAGAUACCCGAGUAGUC